rnacentral:lncRNA from 1 species
GGGUGGAAUAUUUCAAAAAAAAUUAUCCAAUGAUAUUUCAGAUCUAAGAUUUAUUAGAUUUAAUUUUUAUUAUCUGAUAUUAAAUCUAAAAUUAAAUCUGAAAACAUGAGGAAUAGAGAAAUAUCUCUAGGGUAACUAGAUUACCCUGUAGAUGAUUGCAGUAAUGCCCGAGGUUCUAAAAUAGCCACGCAAUCAUCUAGUCUCUACCGAUAUCCACUCGAGUAGGAUCUAGAUUGUCUUCUCCUCAUAAAUUUUUGCUCCAAAAAUCAGAUCUGGAUCUGAACUGGAAGAUCUUCAAAAGUUCUUCUGAAGCUGGAGCAGCAGCUUCUC